AUUGAACGCUGGCGGCAGGCCUAACACAUGCAAGUCGAACGAGUGGCGGACGGGUGAGUAAUGUCUGGGAAACUGCCUGAUGGAGGGGGAUAACUACUGGAAACGGUAGCUACUACCGCAUACCAUCAGAUGUGCCCAGAUGGGAUUAGCUAGUUGGUGGGGUAACGGCUCACCAAGGCGACGAGCCCUAGCUGGUCUGAGAGGUUGACCAGCCACACUGGAACUGAGACACGGACCAGACUACGACGGGAGGCAGCAGUGGAGAAUAUUGCAUAAUGGGCGCAAGCCUGAUGCAGCCAGGCCGCGUGGAUGAAGAAGGCCUGCGGGUUGUAAAGUACAUUCAGCGGGGAGGCGUUACCCGCAGAAGAAGCACCGGCUAACUCCGUGCCAGCCGCCGCGGUAAUUC
rnacentral:rRNA from 1 species